GGGCGAAGUUUGAAGUAUUGUGAUGAUGCAUGCUUGAGGAGAUACUUGGAAGCUUGAAACUGGAACAUAGAUAAAGCAAAGAGAUGAGACACUGAAAUGGAGAUCAACUCUUAAGCCUGAGGAAAUCAGCUGGGAAGAAGUUGCUAUUGAAGGUGAAACUGGAAAAGUAUACAGAGCAAGUUUUCAUGAUCGUUAUGGAAGGAGUGUUCUUAUAUUGAGACCUGGAAUGCAGAAUACUCAUGUACUGUUUGAUGAGGACUACAGCAUGUACUGGUGGAGGUCGGAACUCAUGGAAUACGAAGAUGGCGAACUCUCAUGGUUCAAUACCGGAGUGAGAGUUGGAGUUGGAAUUGGAGACUCAAUUAUGGCGGUCUUAAGUGACCAUUGCGACGGAGACGACCACCACCUUGGGGGUUGUUGUGGUGUUGGUGUUGCCCGCCAUCGAGGAGGAUGUCGCUGUUGUCCUAGAGCUUUUUAGAAGUAGGAUCAUUUGGUCCACAUUUUCUUUCAAAUUUGUGCAAGCCGAGAAGCUCAGAAUCUUUAAUUUUCCCUUGUUUUCGCUUUGUGCGUGGCCGGCCUUUGGGCCGUUGGUUGCGAAGCUCAAUCCAUAUGAUCUUAAGAGUGCUUACAUGUGCCGUGUUGGAGAGGUUUCA